AGAGUUUGAUUCUGGCUCAGAACGAACGCUGGCGGCAGGCUUAACACAUGCAAGUCGAGCGCCCCGCAAGGGGAGCGGCAGACGGGUGAGUAACGCGUGGGAAUCUACCCAUCACUACGGAACAACUCCGGGAAACUGGAGCUAAUACCGUAUACGUCCUUCGGGAGAAAGAUUUAUCGGUGAUGGAUGAGCCCGCGUUGGAUUAGCUAGUUGGUGGGGUAAUGGCCUACCAAGGCGACGAUCCAUAGCUGGUCUGAGAGGAUGAUCAGCCACACUGGGACUGAGACACGGCCCAGACUCCUACGGGAGGCAGCAGUGGGGAAUAUUGGACAAUGGGCGCAAGCCUGAUCCAGCCAUGCCGCGUGAGUGAUGAAGGCCCUAGGGUUGUAAAGCUCUUUCAACGGUGAAGAUAAUGACGGUAACCG
rnacentral:rRNA from 1 species